rnacentral:lncRNA from 1 species
ACUCUUAUUUUUUCCCAAGCAACUAGUUUAAGAAUAAAGAAAUAUAUAUACACCAUCAACACCCUUUUGGUUUCCAAUGUGAGACUAAACCUUACACAUAAAAAUUUUAGUUGGGCUCUUAAUCAAAGCCCAUUAAUAAUUAUUGGGCUGCCAAGAGGCCUUAACAAGUUUUAAAUCACAAAAUACCAAAUAAAACCUAAUAAAAUCCAAUACUAACACGAUUAACUCUCUUAACCUUUUGAGUUUAACCAUCUCUUCAAAUCCUAUAGCCGGAUCUUUUAGAAACUCACAAGUGCCAAGUAAUGUGAGACUUGUCUCGUUAAAUUUUUGCCGAUCUUGUAGGGAGUCGCACUCCACCCGCAAUAGUCAUCAGUCAUAGAACCGU